rfam:Myotis lucifugus cont2.32272, whole genome shotgun sequence.
GACGACACCCUUAUGGGGCAGGACUUGUUUCAGUGGGGCAUUGGUGCUAACUGAGUCUGCCCCCUGAGUGUGUCUCU